GUGCCAGCAGCCGCGGUAAUACGAAGGGGGCUAGCGUUGUUCGGAAUGACUGGGCGUAAAGGGCGCGUAGGCGGCGCAUCAAGUCGGGCGUGAAAGCCCCGGGCUCAACCUGGGAACGGCGUCCGGGACUGAUGUGCUGGAGUUCGGGAGAGGAGAGUGGAAUUCCCAGUGUAGAGGUGAAAUUCGUAGAUAUUGGGAAGAACACCGAUGGCGAAGGCAGCUCUCUGGACCGACACUGACGCUGAGGCGCGAAAGCGUGGGGAGCAAACAGGAUUAGAAACCCUUGUAGUCC
rnacentral:rRNA from 1 species